ACUGCUCAGUAACACGUGGAUAACCUGCCCUUGGGUCCGGCAUAACCCCGGGAAACUGGGGAUAAUUCCGGAUAACGCACAUAUGCUGGAAUGCUUUAUGCGUAAAAUGGAUUCGUCUGCCCAAGGAUGGAUCUGCGGCCUAUCAGGUAGUAGUGGGUGUAAUGUACCUACUAGCCAACAACGGGUACGGGUUGUGAGAGCAAGAGCCCGGAGAUGGAUUCUGAGACAUGAAUCCAGGCCCUACGGGGCGCAGCAGGCGCGAAAACUUUACAAUGCGGGAAACCGUGAUAAGGGGACACCGAGUGCCAGCAUCAUAUGCUGGCUGUCCAGGUGUGUAAAAUACACCUGUCAGCAAGGGCCGGGCAAGACCGGUGCCAGCCGCCGCGGUAACACCGGCGGCCCGAGUGGUGAUCGUGAUUAUUGGGUCUAAAGGGUCCGUAGCCGGUUUGGUCAGUCCUCCGGGAAAUCUGACGGCUCAACCGUUAGGCUUUCGGGGGAUACUGCCAGGCUUGGAACCGGGAGAGGUAAGAGGUACUACAGGGGUAGGAGUGAAAUCUUGUAAUCCCUGUGAGACCACCUGUGGCGAAGGCGUCUUACCAGAACGGGUUCGACGGUGAGGGACGAAAGCUGGGGGCACGAACCGGAUUAGAUACCCGGGUAGUCCCAGCCGUAAACGAUGCUCGCUAGGUGUCAGGCAUGGCGCGACCGUGUCUGGUGCCGCAGGGAAGCCGUGAAGCGAGCCACCUGGGAAGUACGGCCGCAAGGCUGAAACUUAAAGGAAUUGGCGGGGGAGCAC
rnacentral:rRNA from 1 species